rnacentral:lncRNA from 1 species
AAUAAUUUCAUAGAUGCCCCUCUAGGAACUAUUAAUUUCAUCAAUACCCUUCCAAAAUUAAUAAUAUCACAAAUGCCCUCCAAAAUGUGAAAAAUUAUCAUGAAUACCCUCCUCUAGUUAAGAUCCAUUAAAGCCCAUUUGAAUCGGAGUUAAAUUUUUAAAAUACCAUUUUUACCCUUUAUCUCUUUUUAAUAGUAGAAAUACUAAUAGGUAUUUCAAAAUAAUUUUUGUAAAUCUAAAUUUGAGUAUUUAAUAUAUAAAUAGUAAAUUAAAUUAUUAAUAUAUAUUAAUUAAUAAAAAAUAUAUAAAAAUUGUAUUUUAAAUAUAGUAUGUUUUUAUCUGAUUUUGGUUUUGUUUUGGUUUUGGGUUUCGGUUCAGAUUUGGUUUAAAUAUAGACCAAAACUAUAACUGAAUUUACAUACGACGGGAUUUUAUUUUUUGGUACCUAUAACUAAAACUAUCCCUAUUCAGCAUUGAUUAAACUUAUCCCAUUUUAAAUCGAGUUUAGAUAAAAUUCCGUAUCUAUAUCAAUUCACAUUCCUAAUUAGUAAUAGUAAUUUUGAAAUAAAUUAUAGAUUUUAUUUUUUUCCUAUUUAAAAAUAAAUCACAUAAUUGUUUUGUCGAUUGAAAUAAAAAGAGAGUUUUGUUCAAAAGCUAAAAUAUAUUAUAUUUCAGUUUUUUAAUACACUUAAUGCAGAUAAAAUUAUCGAGAAUAAUUUUGAUUAAAAAAAUUUUUAAGUUUUCAAGAUUAAAGAAAGAUCGGAUAAUUCCUUAACAUUAUUUUCAUUUAAAUUUUUAUAUAUAGUUAUUUAUUUGAUAAAAAAUAAAUAGAGCCAUUAGAUUUGGUAAAAUCAUCAAUAAAACAAAAAAAUUUUGAUUUUUUCAUACACUGAAAUUAGGUUUUUUUUUAAAAUAAAAAGUUAAUGGGAUAUCAACUAAAAAAUGAAAGUUGAGGGCAAAAUGCAUAUAGUUGAGGGGGUUUCCAUACAUUUUUAGUUAAAAGAUAUUUGAGGGUAAAUAAGUCAUUUUAAAAAUUAACCCAUCUUUAACCAUGUAAUAACUAUAGUAAAACUAACUUAACUAACAGUAGGGGUAUUAGUGAUAAUUUUUUGUGUUUACAGGGAUAUUGGUGAUAUUUUAAACUUUAUAGGGGCAUCUGUGAUAUUUUAAACUUUGGGAGGGGUAUCCAUGAAAUUGCCCCAGAAUUAAAUGGGACCAAGUUAAUAAUGCUAAGAACCUGACAUAACUCAAAUUCAGGACCUCCUGCCAGAUAUCAUGUGAAACAAUUGUUAUAAUCUAAAAAUUUAAACCGUUAAAAAACGAUUUUUAUAUUUUUUUAUAUUUAAUAGGGUACACAGAUCAUUUAUUUACAUAG